rnacentral:rRNA from 1 species
UACAGAGGUGGCAAGCGUUGUUCGGAAUUAUUGGGCGUAAAGGGCGCGUAGGCGGCUAAGUAAGUCUCGGGUGAAAUCCCUCGGCUCAACCGAGGAACUGCCUUGGAAACUGCCUGGCUUGAGGCCGGGAGAGGAUGGUGGAAUUCCCAGUGUAGCGGUGAAAUGCGUAGAUAUUGGGAGGAACGCCGGUGGCGAAGGCGGCCAUCUGGACCGGUCCUGACGCUGAGGCGCGAAAGCGUGGGGAGCAAACAGG